GGCAGCGGGACUGUAGUCGGCGCUCCAGGGGCCUCCGGCUGGCGCAGAGCCUGGGGUCUCAGCCCGGGGGUGAGCCCUGGACGUCUCCGUUCGGGAGCGGAGCCCAGAAGAGGUCCGGCCCUGCCUUGCCCUCCGUGCCCCGCUGCAGCCCCAGGCUUCGACACUAGGAGGCAAUGCCGGCCUUCUCAGCGCCCUGCCCGACCUGCCCGGAGCCGGACUCCCGCUUUCAUGCCCAGGCUUCCCUCCCUGACCAGCUCCUGCCCCCUCCUCUCUGAACUGCCGGCUCCCUGGGCCCCGCUCCGGCUCCUCAGUGUAGUCGCUGUCUCGGCCUCACCUUCACAGACAUAGACUGAGCAGUCCUGGCCGCCCUUCUGCCACUUACGGAAAGUGGCAGGACUGGCGGCCUGGCCAGCCAGAAGGCAUGUCCUGCCCCCACAGGGGCUCCUUGGUGUGAGGGUGGCGCAGGACGAAGCCAGGGAAGACGAACCAGCCCAGGGCUGCGUGGCCGCGUCCAUACACCCGCUGGCCACAGGGGUGUUGGGCACUUGCUCCGCGCCAGACCUUGGGCUGGGCGCUGGGGUCACAGAUGGGAAUGCGGCAUCUUCAGGGCUGGGAUGGGAGGGGCAGGUACUCCUCAAGUAAAUAGGUCAUUAAUACUGGGAAAGCGACUCAUGGGUUUCUUCAGAAGGUCACUCGGUCCUCAAGGGAGCGUCCAUGCUGUGCCAGGCACCCGGAUGGAUUUUGUUCCCUGUUGGAGCGUAUGCACUUGACUUUGUUAAGGUGGAAAGCUCUCGGCCAGGGUCACUGAGUAACUACUAAGAUUGGCCCUUCACUCUCCGAAGCACCCAGAAGCUGCUUGUCGGGAAGAGCCCAGACCUUCCAGAGCACGGUGUGCAGCGGUGCCUUCAGGAUCGCACAGCUGGAGACGCACCUCCGCCAGCCCGCAGCUCUCAGACCGCUGUGGCAGUCGUCUCGGUGCUGGGCCAGAGUGAGGGUGGAUUUGUGUAUGAAAACACGUGAGUUUGAGCUAAGACUUGAAGUGCGUGUGUUAUCUCCAAGGGCAAAAAAUGGAAGACGGUAAGCAGCCCCCAAGAAAGCUGGAGCGCUGGACCGUAGAGGGCUGGGGAAGUGGGACGGGCUGUGGCCCGCUGGGGAAGCUGCUGGCUGGGGCAUGGGAAGGUUUUGGUCGGGGAUAAGAUCAUCUGCUGUGGGUUCUAGAAAGAAGGGCGGAGGCUUGGGUGGAGUUCACCUUGGAGAGGACGACACCUGAGGCAGAGGCAGAGCAGUGAGGAGCCAACAGCGGAGUCAGCUGGGAACAAGGGGAGGACAUUUCUGAGUCAGGGGUCCCUGAACUGAGUGUCACGUCUGGUGUGGGGGUGAAAGCAGAAUGCAGAGUGACUGCCAGGAGACCUGACAGCAGGUGGCAGUGGCAAGGAGCUGGUGGGGCAGAGCUCACAGGCUUGUGCUCAGCCUGACAGUGGCACCUGAGACCCUUGUAGGGCACUUCUUGGGGAAGCCCCAGCCCCCUGGGUGAACUCUUCCAGGGAGUUGUUAGCCCACUAAUGUUUAGACGCUCGCGAGAAGGUGCUCUCCUGUGUCUCGGUUUCCACAUGGGUAAAAUGAAAAAAAUCCAUCUUAAAAAAAAAAAAAGAUUUAUUUAUUUG